UACAAAUGAUGUUUGCCAAAUCUGUAUGAUUACAAGGGAAAAGCUCGCGAUGGAGCAAAAAGCCAAGACUCUGAUUAUAACAUGUUUGUAACUAGGUCAAGAGGGGAAACUCUCAACUCAAAGAGAAACGACAGGCAAGAAACAAUCAAAUGGCAUCUCAGGUUGCCUUUGGGAGCUGAUUGCUGUGCUAGCUGGUGGCGAGUACCUACAGGUCACAGACAAGCAACAUUGUCCUUGGCCGGGAAAGAGGUAUGUGUGUGUCAGCAUCCAGAACCGUAGCUCUCUCUCCCUGCAGAGAUGGACAGAUGCCAUUUCUGAACACAGUAGACCUUGAAUGUGGUGUAGGAUUCUUGAGGUCUAACUUGCUGAGGUUGUUGGAGCUUCAGGGAAUACCUGGGACAAAGAUGUAAAGGAUGGAUGGACUCCCUCCAGCCAGCUGAGCCACCCCUAUCCUACUCAGAAAGCCAGCAAGUCCCCCCUCAGGACACAGACACCUUGGAAGACCCAGUAUCUACUCAGAUAAUAGAUCCUGAAGCUUCCCAGGGACAUUAGAACGAUCCUCGCCUCUUAGGAUACAAAUAGAGAAGAGCACUGAUGCCUAUUCUGGUUGCUUGAAGCCUUGUGUUGGAAAAGAUCAUGAGCAAGCAUGGGGAUUAAAAAAAGCCUGAGGACCCUCAUCAGCAUACUAUCAUCAUCCAGGCUGGUGCCACGUGUGUGCGCUGUGCCCAAGGGGACUCUGAGCUGGUCCUGGGGGUCUCAGGUGGUUCUGCCUGCCCUGCUCUCGGCCCUGAGUGACCAGGAUGGAAGGAAUCCCUGAAAAAAGCAGCUCUUCUCUCCAGACUCGCCUGGACUUGGACGCACCCCUGACCAAGCUUCCCUGCUUCUCACCUGCAGUCACCUUUGCCCUCCAUUGGUUAUUAUGAAAACUGAACUGUCCUCCUUGAGCCAAAUCAUUGUCCAGCUCCCCUUCAGUGCCUGGGUUUCCUGGAAGGCCUUUCAAUCAGCUUCCUUAUUCACUCAUAUCAGGGCAGAAAUAAAUUAGAAAAAAAAAAAAACUGCUGAAUUUUC
rnacentral:lncRNA from 1 species